rnacentral:rRNA from 1 species
CCUACGGGUGGCAGCAGUGGGGAAUAUUGGACAAUGGGGGGAACCCUGAUCCAGCCAUGCCGCGUGUGUGAAGAAGGCCCUCGGGUUGUAAAGCACUUUCAGUGAGGAAGAACGCCUGGUGGUUAAUACCCAUCAGGAAAGACAUCACUCACAGAAGAAGCACCGGCUAACUCCGUGCCAGCAGCCGCGGUAAUACGCAGGGUGCGAGCGUUAAUCGGAAUUACUGGGCGUAAAGCGCGCGUAGGUGGCUUGAUAAGCCGGUUGUGAAAGCCCCGGGCUCAACCUGGGAACGGCAUCCGGAACUGUCAAGCUAGAGUGCAGGAGAGGAAGGUAGAAUUCCCGGUGUAGCGGUGAAAUGCGUAGAGAUCGGGAGGAAUACCAGUGGCGAAGGCGGCCUUCUGGACUGACACUGACACUGAGGUGCGAAAGCGUGGGUAGCAAACAGGAUUAGAUACCCCAGUAGUC